UUGCUUCAGUAGCACACAUACUGAAACUAGAACCAUACAUAGAAGAUUAGCAUGACCCCUGCACAAAGAUGAUGCACAAAUUUGUGAAGCAUUCCAUAUUUUU
ensembl:snRNA U6 U6 spliceosomal RNA